rnacentral:rRNA from 1 species
CAGUGGCGAACGGGUGAGUAACACGUUGGUGACCUGCCCCGAGGUGGGGAAUAGCUGUGGGAAACCACGGCUAAUACCCCGUGAUGUUAAAGAGUUUAGACAUCUUUAACUAAAGUUCCGGCGCCUCGGGAGGGGCCUGCGGGCUAUCAGCUUGUUGGUGGGGUAACGGGCUACCAAUGCUAAGACGGCUAGGGGGCGUGAGAGCGCGAACCCCCAACAAUGGAAACUGAGAAACGGUCCAUACUCCUACGGGAGGCACCAGUGAGGAAUAUUGCACAAUGGGGGAAACCCUGAUGCAGCAACGCCGCGUGAACGAUGAAAGGCCUUCGGGUUGUUAAAGUUCUUUUCUGAGGGACGAUAGUGACGGUACCUCAGGAAUAAGUCGCGGCUAAAUACGUGCGAGCAGCCGCGGUAAAACGUAGGGGGCGAGCGUUAUCCGGAUUUAUUGGGCGUAAAGCCCAAGUAGGCAGCGUUGUAAGUUGGACGUGAAAGAUCCCGGGUCAACUGGGAGAGGUCGUUCAAAACUACAGUGCUCGAGGUUGGAAGAGGAGAGUAGAAUUCCCGGUGUAGUGGUGGAAUGCGUAGAUAUCGGGAGGAAUACCAGUGGCGAAAGCGACUCUCUGGUCCACACCUGACGCUGAGGUGCGAAAGCGUGGGUAGCGAACGGGAUUAGAUACCCCCGGUAGUCCACGCCGUAAACGAUGGAUACUAGGUGUAGGGGGUCACUGAACCCCUCUGUGCCGUAGCAAACGCGUUAAGUAUCCCGCCUGGGGACUACGGCCGCAAGGUUAAAACUCAAAGGAAUUGACGGGGGCCCGCACAAGCAGCGGAGCGUGUGGUUUAAUUCGAUGAUACGCGAAGAACCUUACCUGGGCUGAACUACGUGGUAGUAGAAAAGCGAAAGCGGAUCGACCCUUCGGGGAGCCUCGAUAGGUGCUGCAUGGCUGUCGUCAGCUCGUGUCGUGAGAUGUUGGGUUAAGUCCCGCAACGAGCGCAACCCUUGUCGUUAGUUAUACGUGUCUAGCGAGACUGCCGGUAUCAAACCGGAGGAAGGUGGGGAUGACGUCAAGUCAGCAUGGUCUUUAUGUCCAGGGCUACACACACGCUACAAUGGCCGGUACAACAGGUUGCUAUACCGCGAGGUGGAGCUAAUCCCUAAAGCCGGUCUCAGUUCGGAUUGCAGUCUGCAACUCGACUGCAUGAAGGUGGAGUUGCUAGUAACCGCGCGUCAGCAAUAC